rnacentral:rRNA from 1 species
AACCAGCACCUCAAGUGGUCAGGAUGAUUAUUGGGCCUAAAGCAUCCGUAGCCGGCUCUGUAAGUUUUCGGUUAAAUCUGUACGCUUAACGUACAGGCUGCCGGGAAUACUGCAGAGCUAGGUGGUGGGAGAGGUAGACGGUACUCGGUAGGAAGGGGUAAAAUCCUUUGAUCUAUUGAUGACCACCUGUGGCGAAGGCGGUCUACCAGAACACGUACGACGGUGAGGGAUGAAAGCUGGGGGAGCAAACCGGAUUAGAUACCCGGGUAGUCCCAGCUGUAAACUAUGCAAACUCAGUGAUGCAUUGGCUUGUGGCCAAUGCAGUGCUGCAGGGAAGCCGUUAAGUUUGCCGCCUGGGAAGUACGUACGCAAGUAUGAAACUUAAAGGAAUUGGCGGGGGAGCACCACAAGGGGUGAAGCCUGCGGUUCAAUUGGAGUCAACGCCAGAAAUCUUACCCGGAGAGACAGCAGAAUGAAGGUCAAGCUGAAGACUUUACCAGACAAGCUGAGAGGUGGUGCAUGGCCGUCGCCAGCUCGUGCCGUGAGAUGUCCUGUUAAGUCAGGUAACGAGCGAGAUCCCUGCCUCUAGUUGCCACCAUUACUCUCAGGAGUAGUGGGGCGAAUUAGCGGGACCGCCGCAGUUAAUGCGGAGGAAGGAAGGGGCCACGGCAGGUCAGUAUGCCCCGAAACUCUGGGGCCACACGCGGGCUGCAAUGGUAACGACAAUGGGUUUCGAAUUCGAAAGGAUGAGGUAAUCCUCAAACGUUACCACAGUUAUGACUGAGGGCUGCAACUCGCCCUCACGAAUAUGGAAUCCCUAGUAACUGCGUGUCACUAUCGCGCGGUGAAUACGUCCCUGCUCCU